UAGGGAAUCUUCGGCAAUGGAGGGAACCCUGACCGAGCAACGCCGCGUGAGUGAAGAAGGUUUUCGGAUCGUAAAGCUCUGUUGUAAGAGAAGAACGGGUGUGAGAGUGGAAAGUUCACACUGUGACGGUAUCUUACCAGAAAGGGACGGCUAACUACGUGCCAGCAGCCGCGGUAAUACGUAGGUCCCGAGCGUUGUCCGGAUUUAUUGGGCGUAAAUCGAGCGCAGGCGGUUAGAUAAGUCUGAAGUUAAAGGCUGUGGCUUAACCAUAGUAUGCUUUGGAAACUGUUUAACUUGAGUGCAGAAGGGGAGAGUGGAAUUCCAUGUGUAGCGGUGAAAUGCGUAGAUAUAUGGAGGAACACCGGUGGCGAAAGCGGCUCUCUGGUCUGUAACUGACGCUGAGGCUCGAAAGCGUGGGGAGCAAACA
rnacentral:rRNA from 1 species